AUUAGAACAGAGAAGACAGGCACUCAGCACCUGUGAUACUUUACAAGACAGGAGCACUGCUGAUGGGAUUCUUUCCAAAGAAUAUGAAGAUGUUUUUCAAAAGAGGAGUUGGAACGUCAGCAAACACAAUGGGGCUGGAAACAAUAGCAAUACUUUUACUUAUAGCAGCUUCCAGUAUAGCCCAGUCUGAAAAUACAACCACUACAGCCCCGACUACAACCACAAGCACUGCAGCCCCGACUACAACCACAACCACUGUGGCACCCACUACAACCACAACCACUGCAGCCCCAACUACAACCACAACCACUGCAGCCCCAACUACAACUACAGUAGCUCCCACUACAACCACAACCACUGCAGCACCGACUAUAACCACAACAGCUCCCACUACAACCACUGCAGCCCCGACUAUAACCACAACCACUCCAACCCCCACUACAACCACAAAUACUGCAGCCACCACUACAUCCACAACCACUACAGCCCCAACUACAACAACCACUACAGCCCCUAGUACAACCACAACCACUACAG